GUGAUUGAUAACCUUUUCAGGGAAGAAAUUUUUCCUACUAUCCAAUCUAAACCUCCCCUGGCAUGACUCAAGGCCAUUUCCUCUUGUCCUAUCGCUUGUUACUUGGGAGAAGAGACCAACACCCACCUGGCUACAACCUCCUUUCAGGAUCCAAAGCAGAGAGCUGGCCUGAGGAAUCUGAAGGACUUUUAACCACAAAGAUCACUGUACAUUUAUCAAAACCAACAGUUUUUCAGAUAAGAUUCCUGAAAGACAGAGGACUCAUCUUAAGAGUGUUCAUAUUUAGUUGCCUCAAGGGACACCAGCAAUAGAAAAUACUCCUUGUGUCUGACAAUUAAAGUUGCUAUGUCAGCAUAACAGUCUCAUGGUGAUAUGAGGAUAUGGACUCGAAACUUGGAACAUACUUAUUUAUAGAAGAUUUGUGGGUUUGGAUUAGCUUGGUCAUUUUUGUUUAGACUAGCAAGAAACUGCUUCAUGGGAAGCUUUAGCAUUGGUAAAUAUUUUUAAUCACAGAAACAUAUUUUCUGUAUUUGUGCCCUGGUUAGCCUCUAAUGUUACAAGUAGUAUUCCACCACUUUCCUGAGAAGAUUGUUUCAUGGCCUAAAACUUCGAUUGGAGAGUUUUAUAAUUUAUUGUUUACACUGUGAUAUGAAUUCAUUGUGGACUUCUGAUGAAAACAAGGUUGUGGUCAUUAAGGGGGGAUGCACAUCACGUAAUUUAGAAGCCUGCAGCAUAAAUAGCUGCAGCUGGCUGGGUGGGUGAAUUCCAUUUAAAGUCAAUAGAGAGGCGGAGGCAUUUUUAGAGUACUACCUCUAACAUAUUUUAGAUGUUUACUUCAGAAAAAGAGGUGUGGCAUCCAAUGCUCCACCAGCUAUGUUUAGUAGUUAUCUACUGACUCCAUUAAGCCUGGGAAACUAGACUCUGCAUCCUGAAUUGUAGAAGUCUAAUGAGUCUUAUCCAGAAAAGUACAUGCAAAUCACAGAGAUGAUGAGAACAAUCUGCAAGGAUAUUAUGUGAUACUAAUUUGCAAAUUAUAUAGGCCCAUGAUUAGGCCAUUUGGCUGUUCCAGACUGCUGGCCAGUGGGGAAGAAAGGACAAUAUAUACUUUGCACAGCUGGAGCAAAAUGCUCAUGUGGAUGCUGGGACGGUGAAGAGAGACAGAAAAUGAUGAAAAUUAUGUAAGUCAUGAUGCAGGUAAUUCUCCAUCACAGGAAAGCUUUUUGAGACCCCUGUGUUAUGUGAGAUGAUAAGCAGGUACCUGCUGGCAGGAGAAUACUGCAUCAGAGGCUCAAGAAAAAAUCAUCUGGAAAACAGAAGAGUUGGAAUAAUGAAAAAAAAAGUGUC